AACGAACGCUGGCGGCAGGCUUAACACAUGCAAGUCGAGCGCCCCGCAAGGGGAGCGGCAGACGGGUGAGUAACGCGUGGGAACGUACCCUUUGCUACGGAAUAGCUCCGGGAAACUGGAAUUAAUACCGUAUGUGCCCUACGGGGGAAAGAUUUAUCGGGAAAGGAUCGGCCCGCGUUGGAUUAGCUAGUUGGUGGGGUAAUGGCCUAACAAGGCGACGGUCCAUAGCUGGUAUGAGAGGAUGAUCAGCCACAGUGGGACUGAGACACGGCCCAAACUACUACGGGAGGCAGCAGUGGGGAAUAGUGGACAAUGGGCGCAAGCCUGAUCCAGCCAUGCCGCGUGAGUGAUGAAGGCCUUAGGGUUGUAAAGCUCUUUCACCGGAGAAGAUAAUGACGGUAUCCGGAGAAGAAGCCCCGGCUAACUUCGUGCCAGCCGCCGCGGUAACAC
rnacentral:rRNA from 1 species